ACCUUUUCGUUUGUCGAACAAAAAAAGAAAAACAAAGUAAUGUAUAUCCUCAAUUUUCUCCUACUCCAAUUCCUAAUGUGAACGUGCUCUCUUUCGUGUUUCGACCCUUUAUAGCCCCUAAAGGAACAAACCCUUCUUCUUCUUCAGGUUUUAGAUCUACCGCGUGUUUUUUUUUCCUUAAUCGGGUAUUUACAAGUCAAGAAACCCCUUUUUCUUCAUAUUUGUUACCCUUUUAUCUUUUGGGUCUACCCCAAAAUUCAACUUUCGCUUCUAUAAGAGUUUGAAUUUCGAAUUUCCGAUCCGUUUGUUGGUCAAUUUCUCCAUAUUUUCUCUUUAAAGAUUGAAUCUUUGGUCCUUAUAUCGAACUACCACAAGAAGUUUUUAAAUUCUGUCCUGUUUAAGUGAUGGGGGUUUCCAAUUGUUCCAUUACUUUGCCACCGACCCAGCAGGUUCCACUGCCUAAGGAGUAUGGGGUAACGAAACCCUUGUCUCUAGCAGGACCUAUGGAGGCUGAUAUUCAGCGUACCAAAGAGUUGGAAAAGUUCUUGGUCGGUGCUGGACUUUAUGAAAGCGCUGAGGAGGCUGCUAAGAGAGAAGGAGUUCUCUGCCAGCUAAAGCAGAUUGUGAAGGACUGGGUGAAAGAUCUUACUCGACUGAGAGGGUACAUUGAUCAGAUGGUUGAGGAUGCAAAUGCUGUCAUUUUAACUUUUGGUUCUUAUCGACUUGGGAUAGAUUCUUCUACAGGAGCUCUUUGCUCAAAAACACAGUUGGCGCCUGUCAUUGGGAGGAGUUCUUUUUUUGGGUGGAUGGGUGAAUUGGGUGGGUCUGCAGUGCUCUAUGCUGUUUGUUUUCUUGAAGCUGCACCUGCUCCCUUAACACAUGUGCAUGGUCCUGGAGCUGACAUAGAUACCUUAUGUGUUGGACCAUGUUAUGUGAACCGAGAGAAUGACUUCUUUUUUGUAUUGCAUAAUAUUUUGGUGGAGAGGGAAGAAGUUACUGAACUACAACCAGUCCCAGAUGCACAUGUCCCUGUUAUGAAGUUUAAGUUUGAUGGGAUCUCAAUUGAUCUUCUUUAUGCAAGCAUUUCUCUUUUGGUUGUGCCAGAUGACUUGGACAUAUCCAGUGAAUCCGUGUUGUUCAAUGUUGAUGAGCCAACUGUAAGGAGCCUUAAUGGCUGCAGGGUGGCAGAUAAAAUUCUUAAAGAUGUUCCAAAUAUUGAGUUUUUCCGGAUCACACUUCGAUGUUUAAAGUUUUGGGCUAAACAGCGUGGUGUUUAUUCAAAUGUGACUGGAUUUCUUGGUGGAGUUAACUGGGCUCUUCUAGUUGCUCGGGUUUGCCAACUUUAUCCAAAUGCUGUUCCGAGUAUGCUGGUUUCUCGUUUUUUCCGCGUAUAUACACAAUGGCGCUGGCCAAAUCCUGUGAUGCUUUGUCAGAUAGAGGAUAAAGAAUUUGGAUUUUCUAUCUGGGAUCCACGAAAAAACCCUUGGGACCGGACACAUCAGAUGCCAAUUAUUACACCUGCCUAUCCUUACAUGAACUCUAGCUACAAUGUCUCUUCAAGUACUCUUCGUGUUAUGACAGAACAAUUUGAAUUUGGUAACAACAUAUGUCAGGAAAUUGACCUCAAUAAAGCCCGGUGGACUGCAUUGUUUGAGCAGUAUCCUUUCUUCGAAAGCUACAAGAACUAUUUGCAAGUUGACAUAGUUGCAGCUGAUGCUGAUGACUUACUUGUAUGGAGAGGCUGGGUCGAAUCCCGGUUAAGGCAACUUACUUUGAUGAUAGAACGGGACACAUUUGGGAAAUUGCAGUGCCAUCCUUGUCCGCACGAGUAUGUGGACCCGUCCAAACAGUGUGCUCAUCGUGCCUUUUUCAUGGGUUUGCAGAGGAGGCCAGGGGAGUUGGUUCAAGAAUGUCAGCAGUUUGAUAUUCGUGGGACAGUUGACGAGUUUAGACACCAAGUAAACAUGUAUAUGUAUUAGAAACCAGGAAUGGAAAUGUUUGUGUCCCAUGUUCGUAGAAAGCAGAUUCCCCCUUGUAUUCUAUCAGAUGGUUAUAAACGAAACCAAACACCAAGGCUAAUGAGUGGGCAGCUGGGAGAGAAGCCUGUCACUAGUAUUUUUAGGUCAAGAUCCAGAGAAAGAGGAGGUUUGGAAAGGAAAAGAGAGCUUGAAUGUGUGGAAGAGAGUCACCAGAGUUUGGACAAAAGACCAUCAAUUAGCCCUCCAAGAAGGGAAUCACCUUCGCCUGAACUUAUUGUUGGUGAGAAAAGUGGCAUGUUGUUACAACAGUGUUUCUCGACAGUUACUGGAGGGAAGAGAAAGAGUGAAGAAAUUUCAAAUAAUGUGACGAAUGAUAAGAUGCAGUUUGCUGUUCCUGAUGAAGAUGUUUAUAUUGAACAAAGGAAGUCACAAAGAGCACAAUGUGUGGAAAGUGCAGAUGGAUGUGUAUAUCAGUCUGGUGGUGUCACAAACCUUGUUGAAGCUGGUACCUCUGGAGCUCCUGCGCAUGAAUUGCUCCGACUCGGCCAUGAUGGUUAUGCAGCGGGCAGUACUGGUGGCAACUCUCUCCGUUCCUCUCAGGGUGACUUAUACAGAGCAGAGUCCAAGUCUCUUUUGAAUAAUGUAUGUGAAAAUGGUUCAAGAUUUUUAGAAGAUGCGUUGCGGGAGUUAGAGCCAAAAGCUGCUCGUGGAGUUUUAACAUCUCCGGAUAGCAUUCGAUCGGAGUCUGUACAAAAAUCCUCUAUAGGGUAAAGUGUUGCAUCAACAGCUUGAAAGAAGUGGAGUCGCAGCAUUGAGGGAUGAAAAGCCAACGCAACAUGGUAAGUAUGAUGUUACUUGUUGGCUGUCAUUUCUCUAUGUUUUUCUAUUCCAGGCAGCUUGCAUGUCAAACAUUCAGAGGGAGAGUCCUGAUAUUUUGCGGAGAGUUGGACUCCUGUACAGUUCAGUUUAUAUAUAAAAAGAAAAAAAACACUCGAAACACUGCUGAAACUCUCAAUUGAUCUUUAGUUCAUGGAAAAUCUCAAUUGUAAUCGGUUUAUUGGAGAGUUUCAGUCUCUUAAUUGUAUUUGUAUUCCGAUGACAAUUAAUGACACACCAUAUUUCCCAAUUUCCCUUUU